rnacentral:rRNA from 1 species
GAUGAACGCUGGCGGCGUGCCUAAUACAUGCAAGUCGAGCGAACAGACGAGGAGCUUGCUCCUCUGACGUUAGCGGCGGACGGGUGAGUAACACGUGGAUAACCUACCUAUAAGACUGGGAUAACUUCGGGAAACCGGAGCUAAUACCGGAUAAUAUAUUGAACCGCAUGGUUCAAUAGUGAAAGACGGUUUUGCUGUCACUUAUAGAUGGAUCCGCGCCGCAUUAGCUAGUUGGUAGGGUAACGGCUUACCAAGGCAACGAUGCGUAGCCGACCUGAGAGGGUGGUCGCCCACACUGAACUGAGACACGGUCCAGACUCCUACGGGAGGCAGCAGUAGGGAAUCUUCCGCAAUGGGCGAAAGCCUGACGGAGCAACGCCGCGUGAGUGAUGAAGGUCUUCGGAUCGUAAAACUCUGUUAUUAGGGAAGAACAAAUGUGUAAGUAACUAUGCACGUCUUGACGGUACCUAAUCAGAAAGCCACGGCUAACUACGUG